GGGCAAGAGCCAGGCCUCG
rnacentral:snRNA from 1 species